rfam:Scleropages formosus scaffold4137, whole genome shotgun sequence.
ACAAAGGCUCUUUUAAGAGCCAACCACGCGUCUAAGGGGCUGAAU